AUAAAAAUUUAUUGGACAAACAUAUUUUUCAAAUUUACACUAUAUAAAAGUUGAGAUUAUUAAAAUAAGAUUAAAAUGAAUAGAAAUAACUGUUCAUAUUUGUUAAAAUAACUAUUAAAAUAAGAUUACAAUGAAUUGAAAUAGCUUCUAGAGUGAAAGAAGCUCAAAAGCUUUGAGCUUGAGCUUUCCUUGAAGGUAGAUCACUUUGGAAGUAAAGAGACCGAACACCUUUUCGGUUUAGAAUAUUUCUCAAACACCGCGACUAGCUUGCUCUCCCCAACUCCCGAGUGAAUGGAGCUCAAAAGCUUCGAGCAUUCCCUGAAAGUACAUAUUAUCCUCACAUUUACUUUCUUUCUAAUGAGCAUCUUAUUCCACAUUUUGAUUAAAUUCCAGUUAGGCCAAUAUAAAAAUCUGGACACGUUUAUUGAACUUUCUAAAUUUGGGGUAAUUGGCAUAAACUGACAUCAACUUAAAAGCACCUCCAUUGGUAAAUUAAUGGAGGGGUGAGUGUCUUUAAAAGAAAAAAAAAUACUCUCUCUAUUCCUAAAUAAUUUA
rnacentral:sRNA from 1 species